rnacentral:rRNA from 1 species
AGUGAACGCUGGCGGCAGGCCUAACACAUGCAAGUCGAACGGCAGCACAGAGGAGCUUGCUCCUUGGUGGCGAGUGGCGGACGGGUGAGGAAUACAUCGGAAUCUGCCCAGUCGUGGGGGAUAACAUAGGGAAACUUAUGCUAAUACCGCAUACGACCUACGGGUGAAAGCGGGGGAAUCGCAAGACCUCGCGCGAUUGGAUGAGCCGAUGUCCGAUUAGCUAGUUGGCGGGGUAAUGGCCCACCAAGGCGACGAUCGGUAGCUGGUCUGAGAGGAUGAUCAGCCACACUGGAACUGAGACACGGUCCAGACUCCUACGGAGGCAGCAGUGGGGAAUAUUGGACAAUGGCGCAAGCCUGAUCCAGCCAUGCCGCGUGGGUGAAGAAGGCC